CCUACGGGAGGCAGCAGUGAGGAAUAUUGGUCAAUGGCCGGAAGGCUGAACCAGCCAUGCCGCGUGAAGGUCAGUGCCCUAUGGGCGUUAAACUUCUUUUGUGCGGGAGCAAUAAUGGUCACGUGUGGCCAGACGAGAGUACCGUACGAAUAAGCAUCGGCUAACUCCGUGCCAGCAGCCGCGGUAAUACGGGGGAUGCAAGCGUUAUCCGGAUUUAUUGGGUUUAAAGAGUGCGUAGGCUGUGAGGUAAGUCAGCGUUGAAAUGCCCCCGCUCAACGGGGUGAAGUGCCAUUGAUACUGCCUGGCUGGAAUGCGGAUGCGGUGGGAGGAAGGUGUGGUGUAGCGGUGAAAUGCAUAGAUAUCACACAGAACACCGAUUGCGAAGGCAUCUCACGAAUCCGCGAUUGACGCUGAUGCACGAAAGCGUGGGUAUCAAACAGGAUUAGAUACCCUUGUAGUC
rnacentral:rRNA from 1 species